ACGGGUGAGUAAUACAUCGGAACGUGCCCGAUCGUGGGGGAUAACGCAGCGAAAGCUGUGCUAAUACCGCAUACGAUCUACGGAUGAAAGCGGGGGAUCGCAAGACCUCGCGCGGACGGAGCGGCCGAUGGCAGAUUAGGUAGUUGGUGAGGUAAAGGCUCACCAAGCCGUCGAUCUGUAGCUGGUCUGAGAGGACGACCAGCCACACUGGGACUGAGACACGGCCCAGACUCCUACGGGAGGCAGCAGUGGGGAAUUUUGGACAAUGGGCGCAAGCCUGAUCCAGCCAUGCCGCGUGCAGGAUGAAGGCCUUCGGGUUGUAAACUGCUUUUGUACGGAACGAAACGGCCUUUUCUAAUAAAGAAGGCUAAUGACGGUACCGUAAGAAUAAGCACCGGCUAACUACGUGCCAGCAGCCGCGGUAAUACGUAGGGUGCAAGCGUUAAUCGGAAUUACUGGGCGUAAAGCGUGCGCAGGCGGUGAUGUAAGACAGAUGUGAAAUCCCCGGGCUCAACCUGGGAACUGCAUUUGUGACUGCAUCGCUGGAGUGCGGCAGAGGGGGAUGGAAUUCCGCGUGUAGCAGUGAA
rnacentral:rRNA from 1 species